UGCAUUCACUACUGUAAGUCGCUCUGGAUAAGAGCUUCUGCUAAAUGACUUAAA
rfam:Salmo salar isolate Sally breed double haploid chromosome ssa27, whole genome shotgun sequence.